ACUGGGUUGUAACAGUUUGAAGACUAUCUAUGCUCUACAGAGCCUUGGAGAAAUCAGGAACUAAAGAUACAUCUAAGGAAAGAGCUCACCUUAGAAUUCUUGUGGGAAACUGGAUAACUCAAAUUAGAACAUUAGUUCACGAAGAAGUUGGCUGAAUGUUGCAGGCUUGCAAAAUGGAAGGCUUUUCCCUCAUUUCCCCUCCCUCUGAAGACCUGGUAUCUUAUGAAUCAGACCUCUACAGACAGUCCCAUGACAGUUACCAGUAUCUCAACAGUGAUGCAGACAGUCAUGGUGGUAAGUA